CCGGCAGCAUUCUUGCCAAUCCCGGCCUCUCCAGGGGUGUGGUAGCGGGGUGUUCUCGCGAUUUUUGCCUUACCCUUCUCGCUCCUGCACGAUUCCUGUCGCGAGACUUCCUGCUCCUCCACCUCCUCCGCCGCUCCCUUUGCCGCCGCCUAAGCCCGGGACCCGGAGCCAGCCUCUCCCCUACCCGAACACCGGCCCCGGCUCCACCGAGGCCCCGGUCCCCCAACCCCGCCUCGCCGCCGCCAUGGCGGACCCUAAAUACGCCGACCUUCCCGGCAUUGCUAGGAACGAGCCAGAUGUUUAUGAAACCAGCGAUCUGCCUGAGGAUGAUCAAGCCGAGUUUGAUGCGGAGGAGCUGACGAGCACAAGUGUGGAGCACAUCAUUGUCAAUCCCAAUGCCGCCUAUGACAAGUUCAAAGACAAGAGAGUGGGGACAAAGGGACUUGAUUUCUCAGAUCGUAUUGGAAAAAACAAGAGAACAGGAUAUGAAUCUGGAGAAUAUGAGCUGCUUGGAGAGGGCCUGGGAGUGAAGGAGACACCGCAGCAAAAGUACCAGCGACUAUUGCACGAGGUCCAAGAGCUGACAACUGAAGUUGAGAAAAUCAAGGCAACGGUGAAGGAGUCCUCCACUGAAGAGAAGCUGACCCCCGUGGUGUUGGCUAAACAGCUGGCCGCCCUGAAGCAGCAGCUGGUUGCUUCCCACCUGGAGAAGCUGCUGGGACCAGAUGCAGCCAUCAACCUUACUGACCCUGAUGGAGCUCUGGCUAAGCGCCUGCUGCUGCAGCUGGAGGCAACCAAAAACAGCAAAGGAACCGGUUCAGGGGGGAAGACCACCAGUGGGACUCUUGUAGAUAGUAGCCUUGUCACUUACGAACUACAUUCUCGGCCUGAACAGGACAAGUUCUCUCAAGCUGCCAAAGUUGCAGAACUUGAGAAGCGCCUGACAGAGCUGGAAGCAACUGUACGCUGUGAUCAGGAUGCUCAGAAUCCCCUUUCAGCAGGUGUGCAGGGAGCCUGUCUCAUGGAGACUGUAGAACUGUUGCAAGCAAAGGUGAAUGCCCUGGACCUUGCAGUUUUGGACCAAGUGGAGGCUCGGCUACAGAGUGUCCUGGGAAAGGUGAAUGAGAUUGCCAAGCAUAAAGCUUCUGUAGAAGAUGCAGAUACACAAAGCAAGGUGCACCAGCUCUACGACACCGUACAGCGCUGGAGCCCCAUCGCCUCCACCCUUCCGGAGCUGGUGCAGAGACUUGUCACCAUCAAGCAGCUGCAUGAGCAAGCCAUGCAGUUCGGUCAGCUCCUGACCCACUUGGAUACCACACAGCAGAUGAUUGCUAGCUCCCUCAAGGACAACACCACCCUCCUGACCCAGGUGUGCAGAAAACCAUGAGUGAGAACCUGUCCACGGUUGAGGGGAAUUUUGCCAACAUUGACGAACGGAUGAAGAAGCUGGGAAAGUGAGCACCUUUAGGAGAUGGAGAAUGGGGGUAAUCCUUACCCCCUUGAACUCUGUUAACAGCUUACAUAGGGUUUCCCCUUAAUUAUAACUCUUGCAUCCCCAUACCAUUUGACACUGGGGCAAAGGGGUCUUCUUGCAUGUGGGGUUUACACCCCUCCUCCGAGGAAUACAGAGUGGUAGCUGGGGGACAUUAGAUAGUGGUCUCCCCUCAGGCCCCGGGGACGUGGGCCUUGCCACAUGCCAGCUCCUGUCCAGUACUGCUUUGCUUGGGGCGGGGCAGGAUUGGGUCCUGUCCUCCAGCACAGCUCCCGUGGCUGGUUGCAGUUCUGUACAACUGUUUCUGAUUAUUAAAUGCUGUUGUACUCUGAAAAAAUGAGUACAGAGUCAGAGCCAGAGUUUCAAAAUAUUCUCAUCUGUUAAAUUAAGAGUGUCUCCCAUAGAAAAGCAGUGGAGGCCCCACAGGGCAAGUACAAAACAGAAUUAAAACUCCCAAGGGUCUUGUCUUUACAAAAGAAAAGGCAGGAGGCAGCCCCUGGACAGCGGGUUGUGCUGGCCGCUCCGGUUGGACCACGUUGCAUAAUCCUCGGUCGCAUCAUCACAACGUCUCUGAGCGUUCCGAUGGGGGAGAAGGGGCAGUGUAGUGUGUGUGGGAGGAGAGGCCCAGUGGGCUCUCUGUGCCCCCUUACCCCCUUUUAGAUCCCAGAGGAAAGUAGAGGGAAGCUGGCUACACCUUGAAAUGAGGCUAUGUGUUUCAAACCUGGGGACAGGGGUAAGAGGGGGGAUCUGUGCUUUGAGCAACCUGAGCCAGAGGCAGAGGGGUGUUGGAGGGAUGAGGGGGGAAUGCAUGAUGCUUAUUGCUUUGUACCUUUCACUGGGAAGGAGGGCAGCAGCCAACAGUAGCUCACAGGUUUGUAAACUGAGCCUGCUGGCUUCAAGAAGGGAGGCAAUGAAGUCGAAUUAAAUAUAAAAGAGUCAUUUGUGCAAAAAUAACUUAAACAAAUAAAAGACCUGGGGAAGGGGGUGUUCCCCUUAGCCUGGUGGGGAGAGGGCCAUAUACCACCCCCCCAGGCCUUUUCAGUGACAUGGCUUUGGGGGGGAGGGGGUGAGCUUCCCUACCCCCUGCAAUGGCUCAG